GACGAACGCUGGCGGCGUGCUUAACACAUGCAAGUCGAACGGAAAGGCCCUGCUUUUGUGGGGUGCUCGAGUGGCGAACGGGUGAGUAACACGUGAGUAACCUGCCCUUGACUUUGGGAUAACUUCAGGAAACUGGGGCUAAUACCGGAUAGGAGCUCCUGCUGCAUGGUGGGGGUUGGAAAGUUUCGGCGGUUGGGGAUGGACUCGCGGCUUAUCAGCUUGUUGGUGGGGUAGUGGCUUACCGAGGCUUUGACGGGUAGCCGGCCUGAGAGGGUGACCGGCCACAUUGGGACUGAGAUACGGCCCAGACUCCUACGGGAGGCAGCAGUGGGGAAUAUUGCACAAUGGGCGGAAGCCUGAUGCAGCAACGCCGCGUGCGGGAUGACGUCCUUCGGGUUGUAAACCGCUUUCGCCUGUGACGAAGCGUGAGUGACGGUAAUGGGUAAAGAAGCACCGGCUAACUACGUG
rnacentral:rRNA from 1 species